rnacentral:rRNA from 1 species
AUACGUAGGGUGCAAGCGUUGUCCGGAAUUACUGGGUGUAAAGGGAGCGUAGGCGGGAUUGUAAGUUGGAUGUGUAAUGUACCGGCUCAACCGGUAACUUGCAUUCAAAACUGCAGUUCUUGAGUGAAGUAGAGGCAGGCGGAAUUCCUAGUGUAGCGGUGAAAUGCGUAGAUAUUAGGAGGAACACCAGUGGCGAAGGCGGCCUGCUGGGCUUUUACUGACGCUGAGGCUCGAAAGCAUGGGUAGCAAACAGGAUUAGAUACCCUGGUAGUCCACGCCGUAAACGAUGGGUACUAGGUGUAGGAGGUAUCGACUCCUCCUGUGCCGCCGUUAACACAAUAAGUACCCCGCCUGGGGAGUACGGUCGCAAGAUUAAA